rnacentral:lncRNA from 1 species
GAGGUGAGCGAAUUCGUUAAUUAGGGUUUUUCUCUGAAAUAUUAAAAGAAAAAAAAAUCGAAGAUGAUCGAGGUGGUAUUGAACGACCGGCUAGGGAAGAAGGUGCGCGUGAAGUGCAACGACGACGACACGAUCGGAGACCUUAAGAAGCUAGUCGCGGCCCAAACCGGAACUCGGGCCGACAAGAUCCGUAUCCAGAAGUGGUAUACGGUUUACAAGGAUCAUAUUACUCUCAAAGAUUACGAGAUCCACGACGGUAUGGGCCUCGAGCUUUACUACAAUUAAAUUUUUUUUAUGUAAGCUGCGUGGUCUUUGUUUGAACAAGCUUUAAAUUUUAUGUAUGAAUGUAAUAUAAUCGUGGAUGAUGGUAUUUACUUCUUCUUUUUUAAUAUUAAUGGAGGAAAAUAAGUUCUUGGAUUGGUUUGGCUCUUUUUAAUAGUGUUAAAUUCAUGAAUUCUUAUGUUUUAAUAUAUAUGUAUGUGUAUAUAAUACACACCCCUUUGGUUAUGGAUUAUGGAAAAUUGGGCACAAUGUUUGAGGGGGAAAAUUGAAAUCGGUAUUGUUGGCUAAGGUGGAAGCCUUGGGUAUUUGAGUACUUGGGUUUGAAUUUCAUCAUCCAUUAUGUUUUGUAUUAGUUUGAAUUUACCUUGUAUAUUUGUGUUUCUAGUUGUGAGUGUUACUGUAUUUGUAGUAGUAAAACUUUCAUAAAGAAAAUCUGAAAUUCAAAAAGAAAUUUGCAUCAAUUCCAUUCAUAUGAAAGAGUAUCUUAGAAUAUGAUAUGAAGAACGGAAUUUUAUUCUUUAAUGUUUAGAAUUUGGUGCUUGUUCAUGUAUUCUCAGUUAUUUCAUCACUGGGAAAAAAAUUCAAGAAGAAACUGUAUGGAAUGGUUACUUUUAACAUAUAUUACUUUUAUUCAAUUAUAUUAUAUAUAACAUAAUUGUUAAUGAAGUGUUGGCCUGGUUGACAAAAGCAAAAGCUUUGAGUCCAUAUGAAAAUUAUGUUCAGGAAUUAGUUGAGUUAGUUUGAAUCAAGUUAUUUAGUUUUGUGAUUAUAAUUAUUGAUUCUAAUUGAAGCUGUGGAUAUAGUUAGUGGGUUGUAACUUCAAAAAUAUAAACAGUUAUGAUAUUGGAACAUGUUGUUUCAUUCUGUGUUAAUUUUUAUGUUUCUUUCAUGUCUAAAAUUAGCGUACUUAAGUCAAUUGAGUUUAGCUCAAUUGAUAUGGACAUUGUUGCCUAUGUAGGAGGACAUGAGUUUGAGUACACUGAAGUGCAUUAUUCUUCUAUUUAUGAGUUGGGGAGGGACUAUUUGGUAAUUCUAAGCAUUGUGUCCAAAAAAAGCAGAUAUGAUCAGAAUCUCUAAUGAAAUUGUUCAAAAAAAAUUAUCAAGAGUAUAUUUUUGAGCUUGUUUCACAUAAACAUGGACUUUCAAGGUUUGAAGACCAAACGUUAUUAUUCUAUCUAUUAUUUUCAACAGGAUACAAUUAGUAUUAAAAAAGAAAAAAAAAACUAAAAUUCUAUUUAAAAAUUUGAGAGUAUGUGCAAACAAAUUGUUUAUUUCUAAGGUGUUCUUAAAUGAUUCAAAUUCAUAUACAGACAAUGUCUCUUUGUUGAAGUGUUUGCCAUAAUGCAUCUAAUUAGAUACUUUUUUUUUCCUGUCAAAUCGAUACAGUAGUUUUUGACACAAUACAAUUACUUGAUAUACAAGUCAAAUUUAUGUAAAUAUUUGUUUUAAAAUAAGAUUUAAUAUGUAAAAUUUUAUGAAUAGAAUUUUCAAAUCUAAUUGAUUUUGUCGUAAUUUAAUUGACGUUGUUAUUAUUGCAACAUGAAGGCAUUAAUUCGAGUGUGUUUGAGUAUAUAAAAUCGGUUUGAUGGUUUGGAUAAUGUUGACCUGAAUCAAAUAAUAAUGCUUUUCCAAAAUUCUUAAAAGUGUAAAUUAACCAUUAAAUUUUUAGGCAUUUUUGUAAUAAAACAAAAUUACGUUAUGUAGCGCCAGAUAGUGAAAAUAAUAUCUGCAAAUUUAAAUUUUCUUUCAAAGUGAUAAUGCAUAUUUUCUUUUUAAUUUCUACAAUUAAGUUUAAUAUUCAUACAGUUCAUUAUUUUAUCUAUUAUUAUUCACAAUAAACUAAUUUUUUUAUUAGACCAAUAAUUUAUUUUUCUAAAACAUAUUAAAGGAUGGAGUUAGUCAACAAGCUCGAUAAAUCCAGUCCAUGUAGGUCGUAGAACAUUCAAUUUAGGCCUACCCUACCAAAAUGGGCUAAUUGGGUUUCAAAAGUAUUUGGGCUUCGAUAAAAUAUCUAAGCAAACGCUAAACUCCUUGCUCAGCUGAAUUGGGCUUUGAAUUAUUAUUUAAAAUUUAUUUUUAGAAAGAGCAAAUAUUAAUAUAUUUUUAAAAAAAAUACAAACAAAAGGAUUAGAAUUAACUUCUUUUUCUUUUCUUUUUUUUUUGAAAAACAAACAAAAGGAUUAGAAUUAACUUUUUUUUUAUCUUUUGUUUUUUUAACAAUCUCAUUAUAAGUUCUGAUCAUAUUUGCUAUUUUUUAACACAAUGCUUUAAACUACCCCCUCCCUAACCCAUGAAUAAGAAAAUAAUGUGUUUCAGUGCACUCGAACUCAUAUCCUCCUAUAUUGGCAACAAUGUCUUUGCUAAUCGAGUUAAUACUCAAUUGACUUAAAACCAACUAAAUUAAACAAAAAGAAUCCCUCUAAACAAUUGCAAUCCCUCUUCCCUGUCAAACGCUAUUUUGGCUAUUCGGUCAGCUUCUUUAUUUUCUUCUCUAGGGACGUAUUCUAGCAUCCAAUUCCCCACAUUCUCCAGGAGUUGAUGUAUUCAACUAAUUAACACCGAGCUUGAAGUCUUCAAAAUAGAUUCCUGGAUAGCCACAAUAACCGCCAUGUUUUUCGUCUGCACCAACACUCUAUCGCAAUGUCUGCCGUGCAACAAUGUCAAGUCAUCUAAAAUAUCUCAUAAUUUAACAUUGAAAAUUGAACAUUUUCCUGAACAUCAAUUAAAACUAAGAGUCCACUCUUCAUGUCGAUCUCUCAAAAUUCUCCGUACUGCAGCAUACCCUAAAUCCACAUUAACAGCAUUAUCAAAUCUUAUUCGUAUCCAAUUACCUGUCCAAAUGGACUCCCCCUCACAACUUGUGAAUAAAAACCUACUAUUUGGCCCAGCUAUAUGAACCUUUGAUAAUUUAUUCUACACUCCAUGAUACUUUCUAGAAAAUGUAGGUUUUUCUGUUCUUCCAUAUACGCCAUGCAACUAGACAAAAAAAACACGAUAAAUUCACCCCUCUCUAAGAAUUUUUUUAAACGAUUCUCCACUCCUGCAAGCUUCCGGAAAAGAAGCUCCAUGCUCCUCAACCAGAAUGAUACGAGACCUAACAAAAAAAAGGGCAAUUUACCAAUAAAAGCCAUUUUUUUCAAAAAUUACCGAAAUGGGCCCAUUUUUUAAUUAUUUACCGGAAUGGUCCUUUUUCCGGAAAAUCGCGUCCAUGUCAGCGCAAUGUCAGGGUACGCGUCAGCAUCUCGCGCUGACGUGGACGUGAUUUCGGCCCACGCGUGAACAGUACCCAACGGUCAAAAAAAUAAAAUACCGGGUUCAUUUUGAUAAAUUUUAAAAAUAUAGGGCUUUUUUGGUAUUUUGAAAAAAUAAAUUUUGAAUCUUUUUGUACUUGUAUUUAUUUUUUUAAUCAAUUAACUCUUCAAUAUUAGAUCAAUAGAAACAAGUACAAAAAAGAUUCAAAAUUGUUACCAACAAAAAUUGAACCAAGGUACUAAAGGAAAAGAGCAAGCAUCUUAACCAACUAAGCCAAACUAAUUAAUUAACAUAUUAUAGAAAUAUUGUUAUUAUCUUAAUUAUAUUACUUACGUUCUAACGAUUUAUCGGACCUAUUCCAUACACGUGUCAAAUUAGAAAAAAUAAUACAACAAUUCUGUAAAAAAACCGAUGUUUACUUCAAAUAAAUAAGGAAAAUAAUGAUUUGAAUGUUUCAAAAUCCAAUUUUAAACCGAAAAAAUCGAAAUUUAGGGGCAAAAAAGGAUUUUUUUUCGGCGAAAACUGCGGCAAACCGCCUUCGGCUAUUUGUCAGCGCGUAUAUCUUGAAAAUUUAUUCGAAAUAAAAAAAAUCGUCUCAAUCGGACAACCGAGCCAAAAGUUAUGGCCUUUCAAAGUUUUCCAAGCUAAAAAUCAUGAACUGUUCAUCCACGUCAGCAAAUUGCAUCCUCGUAGGCGCGAUUUGUGUCCACGUAAGCAAAGCGCGCUGACGUGGACGCGAUGUUCUGACACGUCCCCUGACAUCGCGCUGACGUGGACGCGAUUUCGAGGAAAAUAGCCCAUUCUGGUAAAUAAUAAAAUACCGGGCCCAUUUCGAUAAAUUUUAAAAAAUAGGGCUUUUUUUAGAAAUUUGCCCAAAAAAAAAACAAAGUAAAAGAAAGACAAACUCUUCCUUUAAUAAUAAAUAAUAAAUAAUAAAUAAUAAAUUUGUUCUUAUUUUAAAAAGGACAAAUUAAUAAAAUUGGUGAUACGACAUCGUUUAAAGAAACUAAAAGGCCAAAGUAGUCAACGGGUAAUAUUUGGCUUUAAAAUAAUUCCACUAUAAAAUCCACCCCCACGCUUCACUUUUCUCUUAUUUCCAGGGUUAACAAAUUUGGGGAUUAGGGUUUUCUCUGAAAUAGUCUUUUAAAAAAAAUCGAAGAUGAUCGAGGUGGUGUUGAACGAUCGGCUAGGGAAGAAAGUGCGCGUGAAGUGCAACGACGACGACACGAUUGGAGACCUUAAGAAGCUGGUCGCGGCCCAAACUGGAACUCGAGCAGACAAGAUCCGUAUCCAGAAGUGGUACACGGUUUACAAGGAUCAUAUUACCCUCAAAGAUUACGAAAUCCACGAUGGUAUGGGUCUCGAACUUUACUACAAUUAAAAAAAA